AAGGAAUAUUGGUCAAUGGACGCAAGUCUGAACCAGCCAUGCCGCGUGGAGGAUGAAGGUCCUCUGGAUUGUAAACUUCUUUUAUCUGAGAAGAAACCCAAGAUUUCUAUUUUGGUUGACGGUACCAGAUGAAUAAGCACCGGCUAACUCCGUGCCAGCAGCCGCGGUAAUACGGAGGGUGCAAGCGUUAUCCGGAUUCACUGGGUUUAAAGGGUGCGUAGGUGGGUAGGUAAGUCAGUGGUGAAAUCCCCGAGCUUAACUUGGGAACUGCCGUUGAUACUAUCUAUCUUGAAUAUCGCGUAGGUAAGCAGAAUAUGUCAUGUAGCGGUGAAAUGCUUAGAUAUGACAUAGAACACCAAUUGCGAAGGCAGCUUACUUCACGAUUAUUGACACUGAGGCACGAAAGCGUGGGGAGCAAAC
rnacentral:rRNA from 1 species